AUAUCAAUAAGCGGAGGAAAAGAAACCAACAGGGAUUGCCUUAGUAGCAGCGAGUGAAGCGGCAAAAGCUCAAAUUUGAAAUCUGCCACCAGGCCGAGUUGUAAUUUGUAGAGGGCAUCGCAGCAAAGGACCGGUACUCAAGUUCUCUGGAAUGAGACAUCAUGGAGGGUGAUAAUCCCGUGAGGUACUGGCGCUGGAGCAUAUUGUGAGCUUUCAAAGAGUCGAGUUGUUUGGGAUUGCAGCUCAAAGUGCGUGGUGAAUACCAUGUAAAGCUAAAUAUGGGCGAGAGACCGAUAGCAAACAAGUACUGUGAAGGAAAGAUGAAAAGCACUCCGAAAGGAGAGUGAAAUAGUGCGUGAAAUUGUUAGAGUGGAAGGGCUUGAGGUUAGAAUUGGCUAAUAGGCUUGUGUUUGUUUCGGCAGGCAUUACUCCUACUGGCUGGGUCUGUGGUGUUUGUGACUCUGAGAUAACAACGUUGGAAUGUGGCAGCCUAGCUGUGUUAUAGCCUUCGUAAAUGUCAGACGAUGCGAGCAUCCCAGACGUAAUGA
rnacentral:rRNA from 1 species